rnacentral:rRNA from 1 species
AGAACGAACGCUGGCGGCAUGCCUAACACAUGCAAGUCGAACGAGACCUUCGGGUCUAGUGGCGCACGGGUGCGUAACGCGUGGGAAUCUGCCCUUGGGUUCGGAAUAACAGCGAGAAAUUGCUGCUAAUACCGGAUGAUGACGUAAGUCCAAAGAUUUAUCGCCCAAGGAUGAGCCCGCGUAGGAUUAGCUUGUUGGUGAGGUAAGAGCUCACCAAGGCGACGAUCCUUAGCUGGUCUGAGAGGAUGAUCAGCCACACUGGAACUGAGACACGGUCCAGACUCCUACGGGAGGCAGCAGUGGGGAAUAGUUGGACAAUGGGACGAAAGCCUGAUCCAGCCAUCGCCGCGUGUGUGAAGAAGGUCUUCGGAUUGUAAA